rnacentral:rRNA from 1 species
CCUACGGGAGGCAGCAGUGAGGAAUAUUGGUCAAUGGCCGGAAGGCUGAUCCAGCCAAGCCGCGUGCAGGACGAAGGUGCCAAGCAUUGUAAACUUCUUUUGUCAAGGGACAAAAUCAGGCUCGAGAGCCUGACCGAGGGUACUUGAAGAAAAAGCAUCGGCUAACUCCGUGCCAGCAGCCGCGGUAAUACGGAGGAUGCGAGCGUUAUCCGGAUUUAUUGGGUUUAAAGGGUGCGUAGGCGGGCUGUUAAGUCAGCGGUAAAAGCCCGGGGCUCAACCCCGGCGAGCCGUUGAAACUAGCUGUAUUGAGAUGGCUAGAGGUAUGCGGAAUGCGCAGUGUAGCGGUGAAAUGCUUAGAUAUUGCGCAGACCUCCGAUUGCGAAGGCAGCAUACCGGCGGCGAUCUGACGCUGAGGCACGAAAGCGUGGGUAUCGAACAGGAUUAGAUACCCGUGUAGUC